rnacentral:tRNA from 1 species
GCCAGGUUGGCCUAGUGGUCAGCGCGUCUGACUCUAGGUCAAUAGGUCCCGGGUUCGAAUCCCGGUGGUGGCG